AGUUUGAUCUUUUUUCCACGCACUCCACCCUCAUUUCCGAAUCAAAACAUUAACAGUCAAGUAGUGAGAGAGGGGAAGAAUUAAAAAAAAGACGUGUGCAGCAAAUUAAAGUUACAACAGUUAUUUCUUUCAGCACAAUAGCAGCUUUAUUGUUAUUAAAAUGCACAUUUAACCUGUUUAAUGAAGUUGGGAUUUCACCUGUCCAAAGAUCAUUUUACAUCUAAACAACCAGAAGUUGUCAGACGUUCCUGACAACCAGAAGCAGACAGUGCUUUUGGAUUUGAUUAACAAAUUCUUGUGAAGGGGACAUUUCCACAAGUUGUCUGAAGGAAAUACUUUCACUCUCAAAUGUUUCAGGUGUUCCCACUUCAGACCGGAAUCGAAUUACUACUUGUUGGGUAAAUUGUAUUACUAGUAUUAUCAAAUAUUCGUUGUAUCAUGUAGCCUUGUAGUUACAUUUAGAUAAUGUUUCUGUGUGUUAAAUAAUUUUGAUUCCUUCCUAAGGCCUCCUUGGGAGAGAGAGGUGACAGAUAUUCUCAGCAGGACUACCUGGGAGAUGGAGGUGUUAGUUGCUCCCAGCAGAGUUUUACAGUCCUGCUAUAUACUCUGCUCUGUGCUUCUUUGUGCUACAAAGCCGUUGCUUUGAAGCUAUACAACGUGUCCUAUUCGACGCCGUGCCUGGAGCAAAAGGAUCUAGAGUGUAGAUAACAUGUGUCUAGAUAGUGAAUGUUAUUAGCGCUGCAACCAUGUGAUGAAUUCUUUGAUUCCAACCACUGAUGGGCACAUAGCGGUUAAAAGGCAGUCAGAAAUAAAAAAGGGAGAUUUCUUUGUUGUUAAAGGAAAUGGAACUCCACACUAUUAUUAUACAUUAAAUGUGCCCAACAGACCUCCACAUAACUUUACUCAGGCACUCCUGACUGAGGGAGGUAAAGCCAUCUCUGCCCCCCAGGAUCAAAUGCCUCCAGACAACUUACACAUAAUUCUUUGGUUCAAAAAUGCGUCUGGGCCUGAUAAGAAUUAUGAAGACAGGCUCAACAAGGUCACUCCAGCUAAAAUCACAGUGACCUAUCUGUAUACAGAUACAAAACACAGCCGUUGCAGCUGUCGCUCUUCCUGAUGAUUUAAAAUCUUUAGACAGAACGUGGACCUCCCCGCAUGUAUCUCUGUUUAAGUAAAAAAAAAAACAGAUGAUGUCUUUUCUGGGGUUAACUAACUAUUGUCGAAACUGGGUGCCUAAUUAUGCAGAAAUUGUGGCCCCUUUAAGCAAACUAAUGUAUAAAAAAGAUCUAAAAAUGUCUUCCUCUUUGAAAUGGACAGAGGAAGCAAAAAAAAAAAGCACUAUGUGGAAUAAAAGCAGGCCCUAGUGUCAAGUGCUGUGCUUGCCUUACCAGACUAUAAAAAACCUUUUUUCCAAAUGGUGGAUUGCAAAGGUCAGUAUAUGACCUCGGUACUAGUUCAACAACAUGGUGAUAAAAUGAGACCAAUAGCAUAUUUUUCUUCCAAACUUGAUAGUGUGGCGUGCGCCCAGCCUCCCUGUGUGAGAGCAGUGAUUGCUGCUUCUAUGGCUGUAGAAGUUAGUGCUCCUGUUGUACUGUUUCAUCCGUUAACAUUAAAAGUACCACAUGCAGUUUCAGCACUAUUAUUACAAACAAAUAUGACUUUUUUAUCGCCUGCGAGGCAUCUCUCCUGUAUGAGCACAUUAUUAUCGCAACCUCAUCUGACUAUUGAAAGAUGCAUGAUUUUAAAAUCCUGUAACUUUGUUACCUCUUCCAGAUGAUGGUACAAAGCAUGAUUGUCAGGAAAUGGCAGAACAAA